GGUAAAGUGAUCUAAUUUUAGGAUACAGGGUUCAUGCCCCUGCAGUGCUUAUAUGCCUUUACUU
rnacentral:tRNA from 1 species